GACGAACGCUGGCGGCGUGCCUAACACAUGCAAGUCGAACGGAAAACAUAGCAAUAUGUUUUUAGUGGCGAACGGGUGAGUAACGCGUAGACAACCAACCUUUUUGUGGGGGACAACACUUCGAAAGGAGUGCUAAUACCGCAUACGCUCCAGAUGCCGCCUGGCAUUUGGAGGAAAGGAGCUGUAAGGCUUCGCAAAAAGACGGGUCUGCGUCUGAUUAGCUAGUUGGAGGGGUAACGGCCCACCAAGGCGACGAUCAGUAGCCGGUCUGAGAGGAUGGACGGCCACACUGGGACUGAGACACGGCCCAGACUCCUACGGGAGGCAGCAGUGGGGAAUCUUCCGCAAUGGACGAAAGUCUGACGGAGCGACGCCGCGUGAGUGAUGAAGGCCCUUGGGUCGUAAAGCUCUGUCAUCAGGGACGAACGGUCACGUCAGGAAAUGGGCGUGAAUUGACGGUACCUGAGAAGGAAGCCACGGCUAACUACGUG
rnacentral:rRNA from 1 species